AUCCAUGGAGAGUUUGAUCCUGGCUCAGGAUGAACGCUGGCGGUAUGCUUAACACAUGCAAGUCGUACGGGUUAGAUUUAUCUAAUCUAGUGGCGGACGGGUGCGUAACACGUAAGAACCUACCUUUUGGAGGGGGAUAACAUUGGGAAACUGAUGCUAAUACCCCAUAAUAGCUGAGGAGUGAAAAGCGGGUAUCCUGUGAGGGAGCUACGCGCCGAGAGAGGGGCUUGCGGCUGAUUAGCUAGUUGGUGGGGGUAAUGGCCUCCCAAGGCCACGAUCAGUAGCUGGUCUGAGAGGAUGAUCAGCCACACUGGGACUGAGACACGGCCCAGACUCCUACGGGAGGCAGCAGUGAGGAAUUUUCCACAAUGGGCGAAAGCCUGAUGGAGCAAUACCGCGUGGAGGAAGAAGGAUCGUGGUUCGUAAACUCCUUUUCUCAGAGAAGAACAAAUGACGGUAUCUGAGGAAUAAGCUCCGGCUAACUAUGUGCCAGCAGCCGCGGUAAUACAUAGGGAGCAAGCGUUAUCCGGAAUGAUUGGGCGUAAAGCGUCUGUAGGUGGUUCAAAAAGUCUACUGUCAAAUACGAUGGCUCAACCAACGGCAGGCAGUAGAGUACUAUUGGACUAGAGUUAGGUAGAGGUAGAGGGAAUCCCUAGCGUAACAGUGAAAUGUGUAGAUUUUAGGGAGAACACCAGCGGCGAAGGCGCUCUACUGGGCCGGUACUGACACUGAGAGACGAAAGCUAAGGGAGAGAAGAGGAUUAGAUACCCUAUUAUUCUUAGCUGUAAACGAUGGAAACUAAGUGGGGGGGGGCCGUAAGUAUAGCAAGUAAUUUCGGUUAUUUGUGAUUUUUACGUUGCUACUUCCCUGCUGUAGCUAACGCGUUAAGUUUCCCGCCUGGGGAGUAUGCUCGCAAGAGUGAAACUCAAAGGAAUUGACGGGAACCUGCACAAACGGAGGAUUAUGGGGAUUAAUUCGAUGCAACGCGAAGAACCUUACCAGGGUUUGACAUGUCCAGAAUUUUCCAGAAAUGGGAAAGUGCCACACUCAUUUAGGGGUGUGGAGCUGGAACACAGGUGGUGCAUGGCUGUCGUCAGCUCGUGCGUUGACGUGUAUGGUUAAGUCCUGCAACGAGCGCAACCCUCGUCCUUAGUUACCUUCUAGGUUCUCUAAGGAGACUGCGCGCGCAAGCGCUGAGGAAGGUGAGGAUGACGUCAAGUCAGCAUGCCCCUUACACCCUGGGCGUCACCCGUAAUACAAUGGUUGGGACAAUCAGAAGCUACCCCGCGAGGGCACGCAAAUCUGCUAAACUCAACCCCAGUUCGGAUUGCAGGCUGCAACUCGCCUGCAUGAAGCCGGAUUCGUUAGUAAUCGCCGGUCAGCCAUACGGCGGUGAAUACGUUCCCAGGUUUUGUCCACACCGCCCGUCACAUCAAGAGAGUAUACAAAGGUCCAAGUCAUUAGUUUAACCUACUCGUAGGAAAACGGUGCCCAAGCUUCGGUAAACAAUCAUGAUGAAGUCGUAACAAGGUAGGGCUACUGGAAGGUGGCCCUGGAUCACCUCCUUC
rnacentral:rRNA from 1 species